AGUUUAUUGUUCUCUAAUUUUAAAAUAAUAAUUCAACUUUGUUUAAUUUUUGGAUGUAUUUAGAAUAGUUCUCUCUGUUCCCUCCCUUCUUACAAAUAUACUAAACUUAAUAAUGGAGGUACCUCAUCAACGAGUUGAUAGAAAUUAAACAUUUUAUUGUUUUCUCUCCUUUAUUUAAAAAAAAAAUUGGGAUACUUACAUAGAAGAUUCCAUAAGAACAUGUAUUACUUGACAACUAAACAUGGUGCACAUAAUUUAGUGUGAUUGUUAAGAUAGAAAAGGGAGAAUAUUUAUUAAGAAAGAAAUGAGCAAAUCAUGCGUUUGAGAGGGUGGUUAUGACCAUAGGAAGUAGAGUAAAUUGGAAUAACAAACAAAUAAGAAUUAUAGAUUUUGUAGAAGAACACUGUAUGCAACAUUUUGAAUUCGAAGGAAGUUCCAGCAAAAUUAAUAAAUUCCUUUGACCAGGUUAAUAGCUAUGCUUAUGGAUUCUUGUCCAUAAAUGAAAAGACUAUAGUCAAAUACUUUUCAAAUAUUGGUAAUAAUAUCAACUUGGUGGCAGAGCGCAAAAAAGUCAUUGAGUCGUGUAUGAAUGAGGAGAAAUAUAUGUCAUAAUUUUUACAUUUAUGUCUUUAUUCAUAUUUUAACUACAUAUUAAAUGAUUAAAACAUUUUAUUGUGAUGUUAAAAUAUAUAUCUAGUAGUACCAUGACUCUAUUUGGACGUAUAGAAACCCAAGUGAAUAUCCACCUUGAUAAAAACAUGCAGUCUACUGUAUAGAUACUCAUAAAUAUAUACAACAUGUAUUUACCUAUGGGUAUACUUUAUUCAAAAAAAAUACCUUUUUUCUUUUUGUGAUUCAAUGUGAUAAUAACAAUUCAAUUUUUCUUUAAAUACCUAUAGGUAUAUAUCCCUUCCCCCUCCCCAUGUUGAAAGAAAAUCCAAUUAAAAAUAAAAUAAAUUGAAUACUAACAGAUAUAGAUAUCCGUAGGUAUGGAGAAUACUUUUUUUUAUUAGUUUAAAAAGUUUAAAAUAAAUAAAUGUAUUUUAAAAUUAAAGUAAAUUUUAGUGCUAUGUUAUUUUUUUCAUUAUAUACCAAAUUUGUAUAAAUUAUAUAAAUGUGU